CCUACGGGAUGCAGCAGUGAGGAAUAUUGGUCAAUGGGCCGACGCCUGAACCAGCCAAGUAGCGUGCGGGAUGAAUGCCCUACGGGUCGUAAACCGCUUUUGCCAGGGGGUAACACCCUCCACUUGUAGCCGGAUUCAGAUACCCUGAGAAUAAGGGCCGGCCAAUUCCGUGCCAGCAGCCGCGGUAAUACGGAAGGACCGGGGCUUAUCCGGAUUCAUUGGGGUUAAAGGGGUCGUAGGCGGGCGUUCAAGUCAGCGGUAAAAUCCCGGGGCUCAACCGCGCCCCGGAGUUGAAACUGGAGGUCUUGAGUUGGCAAGAGGCAUGCGGAAUGCGUGGUGUAGCGGUGAAAUGCAUAGAUAUCACGAGGAACUCCGAUUGCGAAGGCAGCAUGCCGGGGUGCGACUGACGCUGAGGCACGAAGGCGUGGGUAUCAAACAGGAUUAGAUACCCUUGUAGUC
rnacentral:rRNA from 1 species